GUUUGAAAUGCCUCUUUGGAAACCAUGUGUAUAUGUCAAAUAUUUGAAAUGCUUUGCUAGUCAUGUACAAUUAAGGAUUUUGCUGAAGUAUUUGAUCCAUCUCUAUAAUUUGGAAAAUCAGAUGAAAUGAUAUUCAUAAAUUACUUGGAUUUUGUGUACUUGCUUUAGACCCUCAAUUUGGCUACAUUUCGCCCCUGCCAAUGAAGAUUAUACUUUAGUAUUUAAUCAUUCUGAAACAUGAUUACUUUGGACCUACUCUACAGGGAUUAAAUACAAUACUUUGGACCUACUCCAUAGGGGUUAAAGAGGUAUUUGACCUACUCUGCAGGGAUUAAAUGUGGUACUUUGGACCUACUCUGCAGGGGUUAAAUGUAUUACUUUAAGCCCUGCCAUAUAGAUAAUAUGCCCAUAGUCUUAUAGACAGGUAUAUAUAGCUCCAGCAAAAGUCAACAUCAAAAGAAGCAGCAAUGUUCAAUAGUCAAGCAACAACUUCACCUCAGAAGAUUACCAGUUAAGGAUCUCUCCUCUUGGCACCAUGCAAAAUCCCAGACUUUGACAGUAGUGUCAUCAGAGCAGGAACAGAACUUUAAAUCUGUCCUAGAAAAAUGUUUAACAAAUGUAAGCUUUACAUGACUUAUCCUCUUUGUAUAGAACAGGCAAAAAUAUAACAUAUAGAACAGGCAAAAAUAUAACAGCCAAGGAAUAUGCACCUUAAGUCUCGAACUGAUUCUUUAUGAGCAGAUUUAUUUGCCUUAACAUUGUUCAUGUUGUUUUGCCAAUACCUAAGCAAUAAUUGAUAAGCAUAAGACGUCUUAUGCAUGAAAAAUAAAAGGCAUUUCAAGAGUUGACUAAGAGAAGGUAAAGUAACAGCAGUCAGAUCUAUCACCCAGGCAACUUACUUGAUUGAACCCCCAUCAUCACCAGUGACCAUCCAAUUCCCAUUGUGACUCCAAACCAUGGACCUAAUAGCUUGAUCAUGAACCUGAAGCACAUAUGGGACUACUAAAAUAAGUCAAGCUCAUUCAUGAGCAAUAGAUUGCUUUCAAAGGAGAAAACAAGUUGUCAUUAAAUACCUGAAGAAUCAUUUCAAAAUUAAAAGAUUGUCCAUUCCAAAGAGUAAAUUCGCCACUUUGUGACCCAGUUAUAAGACGUCACCCUGUAGGGGUCCACUUUAUCCCAAAAAAAAAAAGGUUAUAAAAUCGAUGAAAGAAAAUUGAUCCAUCAACAAAAGUUCAUGUAUUGUAGACAAAGAAGUCAAACAGACAGCAUUUCAUAUCCGAAAGCAAUGUCCAAAAUGGCAUACAUAUAAAAUUACAUUUUAAACAAAUAAUACAGGAUUACCAUGCUGAUACAAGCAUAGUCAUGCAAGUAUUUAAGUGCAGAAUUUUGCAAAACCUAAAGUCAACUCCUUAACAUGAAAGGAAUGAAUAGAUUCAUCAAAGGAAUCCUAACUUUAGAGACUGCAAGGAAAUAACAGUCCGACUAGGGUGAAGAAGCAAUAGAACCAGGAAAUAAAGGUAAUUGAAAUUCAUUGUUACACUAAAACCUACUGGAUCUAAUUAAUUUUAAAUAUUUGAACUCCUUUGACAGUGGAACAAUAUGUCCUUUUAGAAAGGAUGAAUUUAAAGAAUACAGGUUUAUCCAUCCUAAUUCAACUGUCUAACCCACCAAAACUUCCAUGAUCUGAAGGCACUUACUCUCUACAUGCAUUCUGGAUGUUCUACAGUUAGUUAUUUGGUACUACUAUGAUAUGGAUCUUAUAUUUAAAUUGAAAAAAAAAAAAAAAAAGCAAUCUUUCUUCUUGUACUGUGUAGAAACAAGAAAAUCGAAGCUGAGUGGUAGGCUGCUUGGGCUUAACUCUUAGGGCUAACUAACCUAGAACGAAGCUUGACAUGUCUUCAAGAUUGCUUAUGGUGUCUUCAAGCUUGGCUCUGUCGUGACAUGACCAAGCUUGAGUGAGCUUUCUGGCAUGCUAAGUCGAGUUUUUCUAUACAAGCACACAAAUUUAAAGUCUAAUUUUAUUAGAAAAGGCAAGCUCGUUUCAGUCAACCAAGGCUUUUUCCACAUAUGAGCACUCAUAAAUUAAAAUUUUAAUUUUAGUUACAAUUUCAUUGAGAAAGUUUAAUCCAUUGAAUUCAUACCAAGGAAUGCAGAAUCAUCACGAACUGCCUGGUUUGGAGUGUAUCGAGCCGUGUCAUCGGCAGAUCGGGAUACUUCCAGCAUUCAAAAUGAGAAACUAAG